AAGCAAGUAAGACCAUCUCCAUCG
rnacentral:siRNA from 1 species